UGGUGUUGAGUGGAAGUAGUUGAUAUGGAAAAUAUAUGCAUUUAAUGCAUUUCUUGUUGAUGGACAUUAUGGUGGUGAUGGCUUCCACAUGCUCUGAUGUGCAAGGAAUUUGACGCGUCUAAGUCUACUUGGUUGCACUUAAAUGGCCUUCUCAAAUUUAUCAUCAAUGGUUAUCUCAAAUGUGAGGUAUGAAGCCGAUUAAUUCAUCACGUAUUAUAAUAGAAACAUUUUGAGCUUCUUUAAUAAUUAUAACCUUCACGUCAAACCUUUUGUGUAGAAAUCUUAGAUUUUUUCUAACAACUUUUUGUCAAAUAUCUUUUCACCAAGAUCAAAGGAAUGGUAUGUAAUGUCACUUAGGUAAACAUUGAAUUCAUAAAUAUUUUCAUCAUCAUGCAUCUUCAAGUUUUCAAACUUUAUUGUAAGGAAUUGAAGUCUUAACAUACGAACUUUGGAGGUGCAUUCACAAAAACUUCAAAGAUUUCCCAAACAUCUUUAGCAUUAGUGUAAGUAUUAAUGAUCUUGAAGACAUUUUCGUCAACUACUAUAUAAAUAGCAUUAAGAACACAAGUGUUUCCAAGUGCAGUUUCAUCUUCGGCAAGAGUUUGAUCUUUUCGGGAUUCACAGAUUCUAAAUUAUCUUCACCUUUUAUCAUUGAAGGAGUCCAUUCAUUCAUGAUAGGUCUUGUUAUCCAUGGACUUAAGAAAAAUGGCCAUAUAAGUCUUCCAAUAAUCAUAAUUAGUAUCAUCAAUAAUCGGUGGUCGAUUAACAAAUCCUACUUCUUUCGAACAAAAUAGAUACCCUAGAAAACACCCAACCAGAUUAGGGUAUCUACUCUAGUGCCAAUUGAAGUUAUGUUCGAUCAAUGACAAUAUGUCACACACAAUGUUGAGAUAAUGUGAAACAAUAUGAUUUAAAAGGAGCAACAAACAAAUAAAAAAAUAACAAAAAUAAUUUUUAAUCCGGUUUGGUGCAACGUCGCCUAUGUUUUGAGGGCAGCAACCCAAUCAAAAGAAAUUUCUUAAUUCAGUAAUCAAUAGUACACGACGAUCGCAUACAAACUCUCAUAGUUCAUUGUUUUUUUUUCCUAAUACUACCCACAAAUUUAAAUCCAGUUUCCCCUUGAAUCUGAGACCACUCUCACUUUCACUCAAACACUCUCCCAACUAUUUUCAAGAUAACAAUUAUAUGUGACAUGAUAAAUCAGAAUUACAAUCAAAUAUUUUAUCCUUCUAACUUAAGAAAGACACUCAAAAAUUAUAAACAAAAUACAAAAGACUUACUAAAAUAAACUCUCCAACUGAAUAAACAUUCCCUUUAAAAGUGUGUUUUCAAAUAAGGAGAAUAAAUCUCUUUAUAUAGAGAGUACGUUCAAACAAAAACCCAUCAGGGUUUAAUAAAAUUCCAACCAAAUUAAAUAUUCAGCAAAUCAAAUCUA
rnacentral:lncRNA from 1 species